rnacentral:hammerhead_ribozyme from 1 species
AUCCACCUGACGAGUCCCAAAUAGGACGAAACACUCGACCUGGAU